rnacentral:rRNA from 1 species
CGCCCCAAAGGGAAUGGCCUCAGUAGCGGCGAGUGAAGCGGCAAGAGCUCAGAUUUGAAAUCGUGCUUUGCGGCACGAGUUGUAGAUUGCAGGUUGGAGUCUGUGUGGAAGGCGGUGUCCAAGUCCCUUGGAACAGGGCGCCCAGGAGGGUGAGAGCCCCGUGGGAUGCCGGCGGAAGCAGUGAGGCCCUUCUGACGAGUCGAGUUGUUUGGGAAU